rnacentral:rRNA from 1 species
GAUGAACGCUGGCGGCGUGCCUAAUACAUGCAAGUCGAGCGAACGGACGAGAAGCUUGCUUCUCUGAUGUUAGCGGCGGACGGGUGAGUAACACGUGGAUAACCUACCUAUAAGACUGGGAUAACUUCGGGAAGCCAGAGCUAAUACCGGAUAAUAUUUUGAACCGCAUGGUUCAAAAGUGAAAGACGGUCUUGCUGUCACUUAUAGAUGGAUCCGCGCUGCAUUAGCUAGUUGGUAAGGUAACGGCUUACCAAGGCAACGAUGCAUAGCCGACCUGAGAGGGUGAUCGGCCACACUGGAACUGAGACACGGUCCAGACUCCUACGGGAGGCAGCAGUAGGGAAUCUUCCGCAAUGGGCGAAAGCCUGACGGAGCAACGCCGCGUGAGUGAUGAAGGUCUUCGGAUCGUAAAACUCUGUUAUUAGGGAAGAACAUAUGUGUAAGUAACUGUGCACAUCUUGACGGUACCUAAUCAGAAAGCCACGGCUAACUACGUG